UGAAGCAAAUAGUGACGAAUUUCCGAGUCAGAUUUUAAUACCUCCGCCAAAGAAACCAUAAUGUCGAAAGAAAGGAGCCGAACUGAGUCUUGGUCAUCAUUAGAAAGGGAGUUGAACAAUGGAAUGAAUUCGUCAAUAGCCUCCUGUUUAGUUACCAAAAAAACAAACUUGGCACAGUUCGUUGCUGCAGGACGACGGACCAUGGGAGCUUCGUCGUGACAUAGAUGACUAAAACUUUGACGAAGAGAGACUUUGACAGCAGGAUUUUCUGACUGAGAAUAUGCCGCGCAGUAAAGCCCAGCAGAGGACGCACGAGAGGUAAACCACUCAGCGGUUGAAAGACGUUGAACCAAUGGAACAAAAUAUUGCUCUAAUUGUUCUUGGGAUAGGCAAAUACAUACUUUAUUGAGAGAGUCAACGGCUUUAUCGCGGACUACCGUUUCUUCAGUUGCAGCAAGAUUUUCAAGGGGAGACAAAAGGACAUGCGCAUACUCAGGGCCUCCAACAUAAUCUACAAAAUUUCCUAACUGGUCGGCGAGAGCUGAUAGGACUUCGUCCU